rnacentral:rRNA from 1 species
GACGUAGGGCGCGAGCGUUGUCCGGAUUUAUUGGGCGUAAAGAGCUCGUAGGCGGCUCGGUAAGUCAGGUGUGAAAACUCUAGGCUCAACCUAGAGACGCCACCUGAUACUGCCGUGGCUAGAGUCCGGUAGGGGAGCAUGGAAUUCCUGGCGUAGCGGUGAAAUGCGCAGAUAUCAGGAGGAACACCAGUGGCGAAGGCGGUGCUCUGGGCCGGAACUGACGCUGAGGAGCGAAAGCCAGGGGAGCAAACGGG